ensembl:lincRNA
AAAUUCAUCAAACCUAUCUUCACGGAUGAGUCCUACCUUGAACUCUAUAGGAAGCAGAAGAAGCACCUUAACACACAGCAGUUGACAGCCUUUCAGCUGCUGUUUGCCUGGAGGGAUAAAACAGCUCGCAGGGAAGAUGAAAGUUACGGGUAAGGGAUUAGAGGUUCUUUUAAUACUUGUUUCCAGACUGAGGAGAUCUAAUAACAAGUAAAUAAUGGGCUUUUUUCUUUUGCUAUGAAAGCUGGUUAUUUCCCCUAUGUGACAGCAUCUAAUGGAACUUAAUGGCUGAAUGUAAUGUGUCCCCACUGUGUGUGUGUGUGUGUGUUUUUUUUUCCAGAUAUGUACUGCCAAACCACAUGAUGCUGAAAAUAGCUGAAGAACUGCCUAAGGAACCUCAGGGCAUCAUAGCUUGCUGCAACCCAGUACCACCCCUUGUGCGGCAGCAGAUCAACGAAAUGCACCUUUUAAUCCAGCAGGCCCGAGAGAUGCCCCUGCUCAAGUCUGAAGUUGCAGCCGGAGUGAAGAAGAGCGGACCGCUGCCCAGUGCCGAGGUAGAGUGUCGGAUCUGUUUUCUCCCCCGGGAGGGAAAACGUCAAGUCACAGCCAGUGCAAGUACACCUCUGACAGAGGCCUGUGCUGACAGCUGGCAGAAAGCUACUGCCGGCUUGCACGUUUUACAUGCCAGCCUGCUGGUGUCUUUUAAUGCAGAGAUUGGAGAAUGUUCUCUUUGGACCUCACGACUGCUCCCAUGCCCCUCCGGAUGGCUAUCCAAUCAUCCCAACCAGUGGAUCUGUGCCAGUUCAGAAGCAGGCGAGCCUCUUCCCUGAUGAAAAAGAAGAUAACUUGCUGGGUACCACGUGCCUGAUUGCCACAGCUGUCAUCACGUUAUUUAAUGAACCUAGUGCUGAAGACAGUAAAAAGGGUCCAUUGACAGUUGCACAGAAAAAAGCCCAGAACAUCAUGGAGUCCUUUGAAAAUCCAUUUAGGAUGUUUCUGCCCUCACUGGGACAUCGUGCUCCCGUCUCUCAGGCAGCGAAGUUCGAUCCAUCAACCAAAAUCUAUGAAAUCAGCAACCGUUGGAAGCUGGCCCAGGUACAAGUACAAAAAGACUCUAAAGAAGCUGUCAAGAAGAAGGCAGCUGAGCAAACAGCUGCCCGGGAACAGGCAAAGGAGGCGUGCAAAGCUGCAGCAGAACAGGCCGUCUCCGUCCGACAGCAGGUCGUGCUAGAAAAUGCUGCAAAGAAGAGAGAGCGAGCAACAAGCGACCCAAGGACCACAGAACAGAAACAAGAGAAGAAACGACUCAAAAUUUCCAAGAAGCCAAAGGACCCAGAGCCACCAGAAAAAGAGUUUACGCCUUACGACUACAGCCAGUCAGACUUCAAGGCUUUUGCUGGUGAGGAAGUAAUGGGGCCCCAUACAGGGACAUCUGUGCGCGUCAGAGGGGAGGAAGCCAUAAAGAGACCACAAUAUAGGGGCCAAGUGAGUCCUGCACAAGGCAUGGUGCUAGCCAGGAAUUGUUGGAGUAGUCCAGAGAGGCCGUGGCAAUGUGGACAGUCGCCUGCAGCCUCAUUGCCACCUCCUCCACGGGAGCUCACUCAUGGUGGCCUCCAUGGUGGGUUAGCAAGAUCACCUGUCACUUCCAUUGUGACCAGGGCGCCAUCCUUCCUCACUAUCACUUGUGCCCAUAAACCCUCUCUCUCUCUCUCUCUCUCACACACACACACACACACACACACACACACACAAUUUUGUUUGUUGAAAAAUCUCAAAGCCUAUGACAUGAACCCCUAUGGCUGCUUGGGCUGUGAGAGUCCGUCUGCUUUGAAGGGGCUACAGAUGGCAUUCUCGACUCUAGCAGCCUUCGGAGCAACAUGCUCCUUUGGAAAAGAGAAAGCAGAGGCCAGUCCACACAAUGGCCCUUUAUACAGGAGUGUCGCCUCAGAGCCCGAGUUCCUGACGGCAUCACCCAGCACAGAGAUCAGAAUGGAUUUCCUUAUGUGCGGGGGCCACUGCUGUAGCCACCUGCCCCUAAGGUCCUGGGACUAG